rnacentral:lncRNA from 1 species
CCUUCAUUUUCAUAUUGCUUUCUCCAUGUUAUUCCACUAACCUAAAUUAGUGGCUAAUAUUACUUCUAACAAAGUUAAUGGCAAUUUAAUGGUUAGAAUUAAACCUCACUUUAAUCUAAUUUCCAUUAAUCACAAAUUCUAAUAUGAUGUCCAUUUUACCUCUUCACCACAAUUCAUUCAUAAAAUUAAGUUUAAAUUUAAUAUGUG